rnacentral:rRNA from 1 species
AUGGCCUCCACGUGCCCUACCUUGGCCUAUAAACACGCCCAACCGAAACUGCUCGUCCGAUCCCCUCUCGAUCCCCCUUCGCCCCUCUCCUCUUUGUCUCGAAAUCGAGCUCGGGCUCGAUGCGGUGACUGCGUUCGUCGUCGUCGUUACCGCGGCCACCGUCGUCGCCCUCGCGCGGGAAGACGUCCAGGAGAUCCGCAGCUGCCGUCUUCGUGUUCCACGUGCACCAAAUCGAGCCGAGGCGGCCCGUACGUUCGCCAUCGACCUCGUUUCCACCGCGUACGUCGUCGUCGUCCGCCGUUGAUUGCCACCGCUUCGGUCCAUCCCCGAUCUUCCCGAGCACGCCUACAGCUCCGCGACACCGAGACCGACGCCGCUGCUACCCAGUACGACUACGGUGUUGACGACCCCUCUCUCUUGCCAGAGCAACCAGGCAAGCCCCCCUCCCCCUUGAUCACCAGAUAUCGCCUACUCUUCUCUAUACUGCUUGCAUUAGAGUAG